rnacentral:rRNA from 1 species
UACGUAGGGGGCGAGCGUUAUCCGGAAUUACUGGGUGUAAAGGGAGCGUAGACGGCGAAGUAAGCCUGAAGUGGAAGCCCGCGGCCCAACCGCGGGACUGCUUUGGGAACUGCUUAGCUGGAGUAUGGGAGGGGUAAGCGGAAUUCCUGGUGUAGCGGUGAAAUGCGUAGAUAUCAGGAGGAACACCGGUGGCGAAGGCGGCUUACUGGACCAUGACUGACGUUGAGGCUCGAAAGCGUGGGGAGCGAACAGG